UACGAAGGGGGCUAGCGUUGCUCGGAAUCACUGGGCGUAAAGCGCACGUAGGCGGGUUCUUAAGUCGGAGGUGAAAUCCUGGAGCUCAACUCCAGAACUGCCUUCGAUGCUGAGAAUCUCGAGUUCGGGAGAGGUGAGUGGAACUGCGAGUGUAGAGGUGAAAUUCGUAGAUAUUCGCAAGAACACCAGUGGCGAAGGCGGCUCACUGGCCCGAUACUGACGCUGAGGUGCGAAAGCGUGGGGAGCAAACAGG
rnacentral:rRNA from 1 species